CCUACGGGUGGCAGCAGUGAGGAAUAUUGGUCAAUGGCCGGAAGGCUGAACCAGCCAUGCCGCGUGAAGGUCAGUGCCCUAUGGGCUUUAAACUUCUUUUGUGCGGGAGCAAUAAUGGUCACGUGUGGCCAGACGAGAGUACCGUACGAAUAAGCAUCGGCUAACUCCGUGCCAGCAGCCGCGGUCAAACGGGGGAUGCAAGCGUUAUCCGGAUUGAUUGGGGUUAAAGGGUGCGUAGGCCGUGGGGUAAGUCAGCGGUGAAAUGCCCCCGCUCAACGGGGUGAAGUGCCAUUGAUACUGGCUGGCUGGAGUGCGGAAGCGGGGGGAGGAAUGUGUGGUGUAGCGGUGAAAUGCAUAGAUAUCACGCAGAACACCGAUUGCGAAGGCAUCUCAC
rnacentral:rRNA from 1 species